rnacentral:rRNA from 1 species
AGCGUAGCGAGGCGAACCGGGAGAACUGAAACAUCUAAGUACCCCGAGGAAAAGAAAUCAACCGAGAUUCCCUCAGUAGCGGCGAGCGAACGGGGAUUAGCCCUUAAGCAUCUUGGAAGUUAGUGGAACGGUCCUGGAAAGGCCGGCGAUACAGGGUGAUAGCCCCGUACACGAAAACAACCUUGAUGUGAAAUCGAGUAGGGCGGGACACGUGACAUCCUGUCUGAAUAUGGGGGGACCAUCCUCCAAGGCUAAAUACUCCUGACUGACCGAUAGUGAACCAGUACCGUGAGGGAAAGGCGAAAAGAACCCCUGUGAGGGGAGUGAAAUAGAACCUGAAACCGUGUACGUACAAGCAGUGGGAGCCCUUCGGGGUGACUGCGUACCUUUUGUAUAAUGGGUCAGCGACUUACAUUUUGUAGCGAGGUUAACCGUAUAGGGGAGCCGUAGGGAAACCGAGUCUUAACUGGGCGUCUAGUUGCAAGGUGUAGACCCGAAACCGGGUGAUCUAGCCAUGGGCAGGUUGAAGGUUGAGUAACAUCAACUGGAGGACCGAACCCACUAACGUUGCAAAGUUAGGGGAUGACCUGUGGCUGGGGGUGAAAGGCCAAUCAAACUCGGAGAUAGCUGGUUCUCCCCGAAAGCUAUUUAGGUAGCGCCUCGGACGAAUACUACUGGGGGUAGAGCACUGUUUGGGCUAGGGGGUCAUCCCGACUUACCAACCCCAUGCAAACUCCGAAUACCAGUAAGUAAUAUCCGGGAGACACACGGCGGGUGCUAACGUCCGUCGUGAAGAGGGAAACAACCCAGACCGCCGGCUAAGGUCCCAAAGUUCUGGUUAAGUGGGAAACGAUGUGGGAAGGCUCAGACAGCUAGGAUGUUGGCUUAGAAGCAGCCAUCAUUUAAAGAAAGCGUAAUAGCUCACUAGUCGAGUCGGCCUGCGCGGAAGAUGUAACGGGGCUCAAACCAGGCACCGAAGCCGCGGAUUCACGCUAAGCGUGAGUGGUAGGGGAGCGUUCUGUAAGUCUGCGAAGGUGUGUCGAGAGGCAUGCUGGAGAUAUCAGAAGUGCGAAUGCUGACGUAAGUAACGAUAAAGGGGGUGAAAAGCCUCCUCGCCGGAAGACCAAGGGUUCCUGUCCAACGUUAAUCGGGGCAGGGUGAGUCGACCCCUAAGGUGAGGCCGAAAGGCGUAAUCGAUGGGAAGCAGGUUAAUAUUCCUGCACGACUUGUAAUUGCGAUGGGGGGACGGAGAAGGCUAGGUGGGCCAGGCGACGGUUGUCCUGGUG